CAGAUUUCUUAUGGGUUAGCUACGAUGGAAUGGACAGUGCUGAUGUGUACCUCAGUUACUUUGCAGGAAGAACUUGUGGCCUGUGUGGAUCCUUUGAUGGAGACCAGAACAAUGAUUGAUACUUCCUUCAGGAGAAUUGGCAAGAUCAGCAACUGAGUUUGGAAACAGCUGGGUUGCGUACCCUGACCAAUGUGAUGGUGUGGAUCCAGGUCCAACUGACCCUUGUGAGGAUGGAGUGAACAGCUUGUCUGCAUCCAACGAUCUGUGCUAUUAUUUGAAGGAUCCUUCCGGACCAUUUGAAUCCUGCCUUGAGAUCGUGGAUCCAGACGACUACUAUGAUUCGUGCGUCUAUGACGUGUGUCUUACCGGUGAUGAUGCUCUGUGUUCCAGUCUUGCACAA